AUUUUCAACUUCAAUCGUAAGAUAUUGAAGAGGAUGCCGGAGAUCCCAUGGUUAGUAGACAAAAAGUUGAGGCAGAACUCAAGGCAGUUGCCAAAGAAGGCGAGUGGAGCGGCAAACACUUUGAGGAGCUUUAAAAUUAUGAUGGAGAGGAAGAUGAAGAAUCUGUGCCACAAAUUGAAUUCUUUGGCCUCAUUCGAAUCUACAAAUUUCCUUUUCUUGAGAUUGCUUGAAAACAGGAGACGCCCCAGAUCUGAUAUCUUCGCUUCUUGGGGCUUCACAAGCAUGUAGCUGCUAGAGA
rnacentral:misc_RNA from 1 species